CGGACGUGGAUAACCUGCCUCACACAGGGGGAUAACAGUUAGAAAUGACUGCUAAUACCGCAUAAGCGCACGGCAUCGCAUGAUGCAGUGUGAAAAACUCCGGUGGUGUGAGAUGGAUCCGCGUCUGAUUAGGUAGUUGGUGGGGUAACGGCCCACCAAGCCGACGAUCAGUAGCCGACCUGAGAGGGUGACCGGCCACAUUGGGACUGAGACACGGCCCAA
rnacentral:rRNA from 1 species